CAGCUAAUAGUUUAUAUAAAAUUUUAAUUUUGGAUAUUGAGGAUACAUGUUUGUUUGGCUGA
rnacentral:tRNA from 1 species